AAAAAUUUUAAUAAAGAUUAAGUACUAAAUAGANNNCCCAACANUAGUUGAUUACANUGAACAAGUUACUGUAGGGAUAACAGCGUAAUAUAUAUCUAAAGUUCUUAUUUUGAUAUAAGUUUGCGACCUCGAUGUUGAAUUNAUAUUACUUUCAAGCGCAAGAGCCUGAAAAGUGGGUCUGUUCGACCCCUAAAUAUAUACAUGAUUUGAGUUCAAAUCGGUGUAAACCAGAUUGGUUUCUAUCUAUUNUUAUUUGUGUCUUAGUACGAAAGGACCUGAAACAAUAUUAUAUAAUNAUUUAUAUGGCAGAAAAAUGCUUUAGAUUUAGGAUCUAAUUAUAAUAGAUUAUUAUACUCUAUUUAACUUGCCUAAUCUCUGUUAUUAGAAUCCUUAUCGCAGUAGCUUUUUAUACCCUCCUAGAGCGAAAAAUUCUAA
rnacentral:rRNA from 1 species